AAAGAAAUUAUUAUAAACGGGGAAGAAAGAAACGGAAAGAAGUUCCAUAGAAGAAAGAUCAAAUAUUCUUCCAACAUGGAUCCCUUGGAAGAAAAGAAAAGGGCUCGAGAUGGGUUAACUGAAGGAAGGUAACAACAGGAGGAAUAUCGGUUCAACGAUUCUCGGAAACGAGGAAGAAUACUACACCAUAAAAGAAAGGGUAGUAAAAGAAAGAAGAGGAAGGGGUGGAAGAGGAGGUGGGGGGAAGGGAUGGAGGACAUGUCCGUUCGCGUGGAAGGCCAACUGACGCGAAAGUAAAAAAAAAAAAAAAAGAAAAAGAAGCAGAGUUGCUGUCAACAUUGUCGUCGAAGUUGUAGAAAAUAAAACAAGAAGAAGAAGAAAAAAAAAAUAAAAAGAAGAAGAAUAAGUGCUUACUGUGUAACAGAAGUUAGUGGUGCUAGUGUUAGUGUGAUGAUGGUUGUAGUGGGUGGUGGGUGGGUGAUAACCUUCUUAUUGGUUCGUCGUUUGAUUCGCGUCUUAAAUCCGAGUUCAUUUUUGUUCCCCUUUGAAAAAUAGAACAAGAAAUAGAGUGAGAUAGGAUACCUUGUGAUAAAGAAAGAAAGAAACAAAUAGAAAGAAUAAAAUGCAAGCUUAUUCUUUUCUUCUCUGUCACACUCAUAGGGGGGUGGGGGUGGGGGGUAUACCGAAUUCGAUUUGAUCUGCGAAAAGCUCGAAAGCUUUCGUGAUAAAACGUGACACUCUCUACUAUUCUAUACUUGCUUUCUCGAUGAAGGUUUGUUAUUGUCGGUGAGAAAGAAAAAGCUUGAUACUCGUACACAUACACACAUAUACACACAAAUACAAAGUGAAAGAAAGAAAGAAAGGAUUAGUUUUCUUCACAUAGUCUAAAAGAUAGUGAGAAGCUUGCGGGGAAUAAAAAAAAAACUAAAAGGAAAAAGAUAAGAGUGAAAAAAGUAUUGAAAUAUCGAUUUAAAGUGGGGAGGCUCCCCGUCGGGAGAUCAAAAUCACUAAAAAGAAAA